rnacentral:rRNA from 1 species
UACGUAGGUGGCAAGCGUUAUCCGGAUUUAUUGGGCGUAAAGGGAACGCAGGCGGUCUUUUAAGUCUGAUGUGAAAGCCUUCGGCUUAACCGGAGUAGUGCAUUGGAAACUGGGAGACUUGAGUGCAGAAGAGGAGAGUGGAACUCCAUGUGUAGCGGUGAAAUGCGUAGAUAUAUGGAAGAACACCAGUGGCGAAAGCGGCUCUCUGGUCUGUAACUGACGCUGAGGUUCGAAAGCGUGGGUAGCAAACGGG